rnacentral:rRNA from 1 species
UGGGGAAUAUUGCGCAAUAGGGGAAACCCUGACGCAGCGACGCCGCGUGGGUGAUGAAGGCCUUCGGGUCGUAAAGCCCUGUGGGAGAGGGACGAAACACCGGUGGGAACAAUACCUCAUCGGCCUGACGGUACCUUUCCAGAAAGCACCGGCUAACUCCGUGCCAGCAGCCGCGGUAAGACGGAGGGUGCAAACGUUGCUCGGAAUUACUGGGCGUAAAGCGCGUGUAGGCGGACUGGCAAGCGGGGUGUGAAAGCCCUCGGCUUAACCGAGGAAGUGCAUUCCGAACUGCCAGUCUUGAGUGCGGGAGAGGGAGGUAGAAUUCCAGGUGUAGAGGUGAAAUUCGUAGAUAUCUGGAGGAAUACCGGUGGCGAAGGCGGCCUCCUGGACCGACACUGACGCUGAGACGCGAAAGCGUGGGGAGCAAACA